rnacentral:tRNA from 1 species
GCGGGUGUAGCUCAAUGGUAGAGCCCCAGCCUUCCAAGCUGGUCACGUGGGUCCGAUUCCCAUCACCCGCUCCA